GUGAACUGCAGACCGAAGAAGAUAAAGUUUCUCUGUAUGUAAAUAAGAAACGAACUGUCAAAACACCAUCCCAGGUUAUGACCCUGGGGAACUUCUAUAAAGAGGACAGAUUUCCUUCAGAUGAAAUGAAAGAGAAACUGGCUGUUCAAAUAGGGUUGACACAAAAGCAGAUAGCUAGUUGAUUUUGUCAUAGAAGGUUAAAGGACAAAAGAAGAGAUGACUCGUAUGCUAAUGGCAACAUGAUCAUUCUAGUGGUGGGCAACAUGAUCAUUCUAGUGGUGUCAUCCAGGAUCAUGUUAGUGGGCUCAGGCAAGAUUCUAGUGGCAGUAUUAAACUGGGUGAUUACGGGUAUAUGAUCCGAGGGAGGUAGAACGUGGAAGGAUUUUUGGCCAAAGGUUUCCAGUUACUGACCUCACGUAUGAGCAUAGAAGUUACCAAAAUCCAUAUGAUGUCAGAUGGAGGAUACAUCUCUGAAAGUAUUUUUCACAUGAUCAACUUUUUUCUGGAACUAGGAAUCCUUAUGACAUGUGCCAUUCGGCUAAACUUACAAAAAAUGGAGCAAUCGUGCAUACUAAUCCGAGUUCUAAAAGCAUGGGUUAUAAGCCAUCUGGAUAUUUGAAGGUUAAGGGUGUGAGCGAGAAUCCUGUCAUUAUUGCUGUUAAGAGGCAGCUGGGGAGGCAUUAUCGAGAAGAUGGUCCAGUACUUAGUAUUCAGUUUGAUCCACUUCCUCCUGGUGCAUUUGAGUUCCCAAGUAGUCAUCCAGUCAGUGAGCUAAUCAGUGUUAGAGAUUCCCGACAGGAUAGCCAUCCAUAUAUAUCAGGAGUGAUGAAGCAUCCUAAGCCUAAAAUUGAUUCAUACAUGAAGGGUGAAACUUCAACACUGUGCAGGGGUCUGAAAGUCGGGGCUGGAAAUCUCAUCAUGAACCAAAACAUAAGCCUUCUUUUUCUUGUUCGAACCCUUUUCCUAGGAAGGACUCUCUUAUAGAUAUCUACAAAGUUUAUGCUGACAAACCUGCUGUCAAUGAAUGUCAACGAAGUAGGAUGAGCUCUAAGCUUGCUGUUGGAAGGAUUGUGUCGGAUUCUUUUUCUAAUUAUCCUGUCUUCUAUAGUGAGAAAAUUACUAAUGAACAAGAAAGUCCUGGGUCACAUGAUGAUGACUCAUACCUACAUAGCCCAAAAGCCUGCCUAAAACUUCAAAUUUGAUAAGUGCAUGCAGUAAGUCAUUGGGUGCUGAUAGAGGGACAUUUGUGAGGAUGGCAAAGGUGGAGAACGUUGGUGGCGAGUGGAAUCUGAGAAAGGAUUACCCUGUCAGAGUAAAAGUUGAUGCAGCAAAUGAAUUGAGAGUUGCCAAAGAAGUCGAUCUUGAAUUUCCUCAACAAGAUUCUGUGGCAAACGCGUUCCAGUGAG